rnacentral:rRNA from 1 species
GAUGACCACUUCGGUGGGGAUUAGUGGCGAACGGGUGAGUAACACGUGGGCAAUCUGCCCUGCACUCUGGGACAAGCCCUGGAAACGGGGUCUAAUACCGGAUACUGACCCUCACGGGCAUCUGUGAGGUUCGAAAGCUCCGGCGGUGCAGGAUGAGCCCGCGGCCUAUCAGCUUGUUGGUGAGGUAAUGGCUCACCAAGGCGACGACGGGUAGCCGGCCUGAGAGGGCGACCGGCCACACUGGGACUGAGACACGGCCCAGACUCCUACGGGAGGCAGCAGUGGGGAAUAUUGCACAAUGGGCGAAAGCCUGAUGCAGCGACGCCGCGUGAGGGAUGACGGCCUUCGGGUUGUAAACCUCUUUCAGCAGGGAAGAAGCGAAAGUGACGGUACCUGCAGAAGAAGCGCCGGCUAACUACGUGCCAGCAGCCGCGGUAAUACGUAGGGCGCGAGCGUUGUCCGGAAUUAUUGGGCGUAAAGAGCUCGUAGGCGGCUUGUCACGUCGGUUGUGAAAGCCCGGGGCUUAACCCCGGGUCUGCAGUCGAUACGGGCAGGCUAGAGUUCGGUAGGGGAGAUCGGAAUUCCUGGUGUAGCGGU